AGGCACGUAGCUCAACUGGAUAGAGCACCGCAAUUUUUACACGGAUGGACACGGGUUCAAUUCCCGUCGUGUUCU
rnacentral:tRNA from 1 species